GGGCCGUUAGCUCAGUUGGUAGAGUACCUGUUUUGCAUACAGGGGGUCGCCAGUUCGAAUCUGGCACGGUCCACCA
rnacentral:tRNA from 1 species